CGUUGCUUCACAGUCGUUCUUCACUGGCUAGCUUUAUGUGGUUCUGCCUUAAAGCUGCCAGUUGAAGAGCUGUUGUGGGCAAC
rnacentral:pre_miRNA from 1 species